rnacentral:rRNA from 1 species
AGCGCCAGGGAAUUACGAGCAAUGCUUAAAACCCAAAGGAUUUGACGGUAUCCCAUCCACCUAGAGGAGCCUGUUCUAUAAUCGAUAACCCCCGCUAUACCCAACCACUCCUAGCUUAUCAGCCUGUAUACCUCCGUCGAAAGCCUACCAUGUGAAUGUUCUCAGUAAGCUUAAUGUCCCCGUCAAAACGUCAGGUCAAGGUGCAGCUCAUGGAGCGGAAAGAAAUGGGCUACAAUUUCUAACCUAGAACACACGAAAAACUAGGUGAAACCCUAGUCAUGAAGGCGGAUUUAGUAGUAAAAAGAAAAUAGAGUGUUCUUUUUAAUUUGGCCCUGGGAUGUGUACACACCGCCCGUCACCCUCUUCGACUGUAUUUAAUACUGUUUUAUAACUUUCCCCCACAUUUUAGAAGAGGCAAGUCGUAACAUGGUAAGUGUACUGGAAAGUGCACUUGGCUAACAA